GCUUCAUGAUGAUGUCAAGGCAAGUGUGACCUGACUGGCUUGCUGCUCCCUUAACCUGUCGCCUUUCAAAAGGUCUGUAAUCUUGGUGGUCAACACAGAGUAAUGUGUGUUCACUGUAAGGGCAGACCGACAGGAUGUUCCACUCCUCCUGCUCUCCAGUCCUGGGGAGGCACCCGUCUCUUUGCAAAGCGUUGCAGGGAAUGAACGGUCAGGGAGGGUGGCAACAAGACCAGCUUCGUGCGCCUCGGUUAUGGGUUGGGUGCUGCAAGAGUUUUGGCAGUUGGGGCCUCAUGAGCACAAGUCUUUGGUAAUCUGAAAGCU
rnacentral:snoRNA from 1 species